rnacentral:rRNA from 1 species
AUGAAGUCGGAAUUGCUAGUAAUGGCAGGUCAGCAUACUGCCGUGAAUACGUUCCCGGGCCUUGUACACACCGCCCGUCACACCAUGAGAGUUGGAAAUACCCGAAGCCUGUGAGCUAACUUAAAGAGGCAGCAGUCGAAGGUAGAGCCAAUGAUUGGGGUGAAGUCGUAACAAGGUAUC